rnacentral:rRNA from 1 species
AGAGUUUGAUCCUGGCUCAGGAUGAACGCUAGCUACAGGCUUAACACAUGCAAGUCGAGGGGCAGCAUGGUCUUAGCUUGCUAAGGCCGAUGGCGACCGGCGCACGGGUGAGUAACACGUAUCCAACCUGCCGUCUACUCUUGGACAGCCUUCUGAAAGGAAGAUUAAUACAAGAUGGCAUCAUGAGUCCGCAUGUUCACAUGAUUAAAGGUAUUCCGGUAGACGAUGGGGAUGCGUUCCAUUAGAUAGUAGGCGGGGUAACGGCCCACCUAGUCUUCGAUGGAUAGGGGUUCUGAGAGGAAGGUCCCCCACAUUGGAACUGAGACACGGUCCAAACUCCUACGGGAGGCAGCAGUGAGGAAUAUUGGUCAAUGGACGAGAGUCUGAACCAGCCAAGUAGCGUGAAGGAUGACUGCCCUAUGGGUUGUAAACUUCUUUUAUAAAGGAAUAAAGUCGGGUAUGUAUACCCGUUUGCAUGUACUUUAUGAAUAAGGAUCGGCUAACUCCGUGCCAGCAGCCGCGGUAAUACGGAGGAUCCGAGCGUUAUCCGGAUUUAUUGGGUUUAAAGGGAGCGUAGAUGGAUGUUUAAGUCAGUUGUGAAAGUUUGCGGCUCAACCGUAAAAUUGCAGUUGAUACUGGAUAUCUUGAGUGCAGUUGAGGCAGGCGGAAUUCGUGGUGUAGCGGUGAAAUGCUUAGAUAUCACGAAGAACUCCGAUUGCGAAGGCAGCUUGCUGGACUGUAACUGACGCUGAUGCUCGAAAGUGUGGGUAUCAAACAGGAUUAGAUACCCUGGUAGUCCACACAGUAAACGAUGAAUACUCGCUGUUUGCGAUAUACAGUAAGCGGCCAAGCGAAAGCGUUAAGUAUUCCACCUGGGGAGUACGCCGGCAACGGUGAAACUCAAAGGAAUUGACGGGGGCCCGCACAAGCGGAGGAACAUGUGGUUUAA